CUCUGCAACCUCCUUUCCUCGUCCUUCCUCGCCCGUUUCAUUCCCCACCUCUCGCGGAUCUUCUUACGUGCGCCGAUCUUUCCUCCGCUCCUCUCUCCGCUCCUUAUAUCUUGAAUUCCACUUCAGUUUGGUCAUGUCAUCGCCGUUGGCUCCCCGAUCGCCCCUCCUCUCCGCGAGCGGAGCUCACGCCUCUCUUCUCUUCUUCUGAGUAAUCUCAAGCUCGGAACUAAACCUCAUUGAUUUUCUCUUUCGAGAAUCAUACGUCGCGAAUUCGGGGAUAGGUUAAUCAUGUCAUUCUUCUUUCAUUUUUUGUCGAGUUUUCUUAGGUUCUUUGUUUAAUCAUCGUCUUCGUUGAGCGGCCUCCUGGUUAUAGUGGGAUCCGCGACGGAUGAAUGUAUCUUUUGGUAUUGUGUUGUUGGUUUCUUGAAUCUUGAUAGGGUUACGCUCUCUUGAGUGAUGAUCUUCUUGGUCAUUACUAAGGUCCAGCCAUUCGGACAAUUGGUCUGGUUUCCGUGGAACUAAUCCAGGCAUAUCUUUCAUUUGUGGUGAUUAUAGAAGGCCUUUCAAGUGCACAAUGUCUAGUUCUACAAAAUAUGUCGAUCCUGCAUUUCAGGGAGUUGGACAAAAAGUAGGAACAGAGAUCUGGCGGAUUGAGAACUUUCAACCAGUGCCUUUACCAAAGUCUGAUUAUGGUAAAUUCUACUCUGGAGACACAUAUAUAAUUUUGCAGACAAGUUCCGGCAAAGGUGGUGCCUACCUUUAUGACAUUCACUUUUGGAUCGGAAAAGAGUCAAGCCAGGAUGAAUCUGGGACUGCAGCAAUCAAGACAGUUGAACUUGAUUCUAUUCUUGGAGGUCGUGCUGUUCAGCACAGGGAGCUUCAAGGCUUUGAAUCUGACAAAUUAUUGUCAUACUUCAAACCUUGCAUUAUUCCUUUGGAAGGAGGGUUUGCUUCUGGAUUCAGAAAGCCAGAAGAGGAAAAGUUUGAAACACGAUUAUAUGUUUGUAGAGGAAAACGAGUUGUCAGAAUGAAACAGGUUCCAUUUGCUCGGUCAUCACUGAAUCAUGAUGAUGUAUUUAUCUUGGAUACUGAAAAGAAAAUAUAUCAGUUCAAUGGUGCUAACUCUAAUAUUCAAGAAAGGGCUAAAGCUUUAGAAGUAGUACAAUAUUUGAAGGACACCUACCAUGAAGGAAAAUGUGAUGUUGCUAUUAUUGAUGAUGGAAAGCUCCAAGCUGAGUCAGACUCUGGCGAAUUCUGGGUCCUUUUUGGUGGCUUUGCACCAAUUGGCAAAAAGAUUAUCAGUGAAGAUGAUGUUGUUCCAGAGACCACUCCUUCAAGGCUUUAUAGUAUCGUUGAUGGUCAACUGAAGCUGGAAGAAGGUACACUUUGUAAAGCAAUGUUGGAGAACAAUAAAUGCUAUUUGCUGGAUUGUGGGGCUGAGAUAUUCAUUUGGGUUGGUCGGGUGACACAAGUUGAUGAGAGAAAAGCUGCCAGCAAAGUUGCAGAGGACUUCAUCAUCAGUCAAAACAGACCAAAAACAACACGCAUUACUCAAGUUAUUCAAGGUUAUGAAACACAUUCAUAUAAAUCCAACUUUGAAUCAUGGCCUGCGGGUACAGCAACAGGAACCUCUGGUGGAGAGGAAGGACGAGGAAAAGUUGCAGCAUUGUUAAAGCAACAAGGUAUUGAUAUCAAAGGACUCUCAAAAGGCUCUCCUCUAAAUGAUGAAGUUCCUCCUUUGCUUGAAGGCGGUGGAAAACUUGAGGUUUGGCGCAUUAAUAGCAGUGCCAAAAGUCCAGUCCCAAAAGAAGAGAUUGGUAAAUUUUACAGUGGAGAUUGUUAUAUUGUGCUCUAUACGUAUCAUUCUGGUGAGAAGAAAGAAGACUACUUCUUAACCUGUUGGAUGGGAAAUGAUAGUAUUCAGGAUGACCAAAUGAUGGCUACUCAGCUGGCUAAUACAAUGUGGAGUUCCUUAAAAGAAAGACCAGUGCAGGGCCGCAUUUUUCAAGGAAAAGAACCGCCACAGUUCAUUGCACUCUUUCAGCCCAUGGUUGUUUUGAAGGGUGGAAUCAGCUCUGGUUAUAAAGAGUUCAUUGCAGACAAGAAUCUGAAUGAUGAAACUUAUACUUCUGAUGGCAUUGCACUAAUGCAAGUAUCUGGUGCAUCAGUCUACAACAAUAAAGCAGUUCAAGUUGAUGCGGUGGCAACAUCAUUAAGUUCCACAGAUUGUUUCAUUUUGCAAUCUGGGAAUUCACUUUUCAAUUGGAAUGGAAGUUCGAGUUCCUUUGAACAACAACAAUGGGCCGCACAAAUUGCAGAAUUUCUAAAGCCAGGUGUUGCACUAAAGCAUGUAAAGGAGGGAACGGAAAGCUCUGCUUUCUGGUUUGCUCUUGGUGGGAAGCAAAGUUAUACCAGCAAAAAGAUCAAACAAGAUAUUGUUAGAGAUCCCCACUUGUAUACCUUUUUGUUUAAAAAAGAAAAACUAGAGGUUAAUGAAGUCUUCAAUUAUUCUCAAGAUGAUUUGUUAACUGAAGACAUGUUGCUGUUUGACACCCACGCUGAGGUCUUUGUAUGGAUUGGACAUUCUGUAGAUUCCAACGAGAAGCAAAAUGCAUUUGAUAUAGGACAGAAAUACAUAGAGCUUGCAGUGCCACUAGAAGGUUUAUCCCCACAUGCACCACUUUAUAAAAUUACAGAGGGUAAUGAACCUUGUUUCUUCACGACAUAUUUCUCUUGGGACCCUGCAAAGGCUAUGGUUCAAGGAAAUUCUUUCCAGAAGAAACUAUCAUAUCUAUUUGGGACUGGAAUGCAUGCUUCAGAGUCUAAAGAUAAGUCUACUGGUGUGCAUCAUGAUGGACCUACUCAAAGGGCGUCUGCCCUGGCGGCACUUUCAUCUGCAUUUAAUCCAUCUUCAGGCACCAAAACUACAGCACCAAAGCCUUCACGGUCAAACCAAGGGUCACAGCGAGCAGCUGCUGUUGCUGCGCUGUCUUCUGUUUUAACUGCUGAACAAAAGAGGGGGGACUCAGAAACCUCCACAACAACAAUUAGCAGAAGUCCUUCCCCUACUCCAGAUGUGACUGCAAAUGAUUCUACAAAGAUUAAAAUGAUGGGCUCGGAGUCAGAACAUUCCUUUGAGCUUUCAUCAGAGAAGGAACCCAUAGAAGGAGAUGGCUCUGUAUCAGAGAGCAAUGAUGCAGAUUCUGAGGUGACACAGGAACCAAAGAUAGAUGAAAACGGGGGUGAAACUACAUUCAGUUAUGAGCGCUUGAAAGCUAAGUCUAGCGAUCCUGUCAGCGGAAUUGACUACAAACAAAGAGAGGCCUACUUAUCUGAUGCCGAGUUUGAGACGGUUCUGGGUAUGACUAAAGAGGCGUUUUAUCAACAACCCAAGUGGAAACAGGAUAUGCAGAAAAGAAAGGUGGAUCUCUUCUAAGCGUUUUUUUUGCAUCCUCGAGCCACAACCUAUUCAGCCCAUUCUGCUUCGGCUUUGGUGGGUUUUAAGGUCACCAGGCAUUCAUUUAUUUGUAGCCAUCAUCCAAGUCUGACUACUCUUAGAAUAUAGUUUGUAUGUUAUAGUUUGUUUCUGUAAUGGUCCAUAUGUACAUAAUUUGUGUUUGAUACAUACAUAUGGAUUGCCCUUAGGCUAUGUCAUAUUUAUCCAUGACGUAUUCAGAAUGUGGAACACAUUACUGCUACAAAAACUCUUGAUCUUAAAAUUUUAUUUUAUUCUA